AAAUUGAAGAGUUUGAUCAUGGCUCAGAUUGAACGCUGGCGGCAGGCCUAACACAUGCAAGUCGAACGGUAACAGGAAACAGCUUGCUGUUUCGCUGACGAGUGGCGGACGGGUGAGUAAUGUCUGGGAAACUGCCUGAUGGAGGGGGAUAACUACUGGAAACGGUAGCUAAUACCGCAUAACGUCGCAAGACCAAAGAGGGGGACCUUCGGGCCUCUUGCCAUCGGAUGUGCCCAGAUGGGAUUAGCUAGUAGGUGGGGUAACGGCUCACCUAGCGACGAUC
rnacentral:rRNA from 1 species